rnacentral:rRNA from 1 species
AGAGUUUGAUCAUGGCUCAGGAUUAACGCUGGCGGCGUGCAUGAGACAUGCAAGUCGAACGGACGAUCAGGGCUUGCUCUGAUCGUUAGUGGCGGACGGCUGAGUAACGCGUAGGUGACCUGCCCCGAAGUGGGGGAUAACUGCCCGAAAGGGUGGCUAAUACCGCAUGUGGUGGUUCGUUCAUUCGAACCAUCAAAGCAGCAAUGCGCUUCGGGAGGGGCCUGCGUCCGAUUAGCUCGUUGGUGGGGUAACGGCUCACCAAGGCGACGAUCGGUAGGUGGUCUGAGAGGACGAUCACCCAGACUGGGACUGAGACACGGCCCAGACUCCUACGGGAGGCAGCAGUCGGGAAUUUUGCGCAAUGGACGAAAGUCUGACGCAGCAACGCCGCGUGAGGGAUGAAGGCCUUCGGGUUGUAAACCUCUUUUGUCAGGGACGAUGAUGACGGUACCUGGCGAAUAAGCCACGGCUAACUACGUGCCAGCAGCCGCGGUAAUACGUAGGUGGCAAGCGUUGUCCGGAUUUACUGGGCGUAAAGAGCGCGCAGGCGGUCGUUCAAGUCGCGUGUGAAAGCCCCCGGCUCAACUGGGGAGGGUCACGCGAUACUGAUCGACUCGAAGGCAGGAGAGGGAAGUGGAAUUCCCGGUGUAGUGGUGAAAUGCGUAGAUAUCGGGAGGAACACCAGUGGCGAAGGCGACUUCCUGGCCUGUUCUUGAGCUGAGGCGCGAAAGCUAGGGGAGCAAACGGGAUUAGAUACCCUAGUAGUCC